rnacentral:misc_RNA from 1 species
GAAAAGUCGUAACAAGGUUUCCGUAGGUGAACCUGCGGAAGGAUCAUUCAUAAUAAGUGUUUUACUGCACUUUUUAAAAAUAGUACUCACCUUGUGUGCAAUGUUGUGUUUCUUUUCGGAGAAACACCUACACCAACCUAUAACCUUGAACCACUUUGUCUGAAAAACUAUUAUGAAUACUUAAUUCAAAAUACAACUUUCAACAACGGAUCUCUUGGCUCUC